AUGGUCCUAGUUUCCAGGAACCUGGAGAAGAAGAGAAACAAGAACUUACCCCGGAACGGGACGCCAAAAAGCGCAGGGCCAAGGGCCACAGAGCCCCUGCACCCUGGAGACAGCCGGGAGAGCCCGAAGCUAGCUGCGAAGACUCUUCUCUGGUUUCGUUCCGGGCGAGCCUGGAAGGUGGUCUGUGGGUCGGGCUCCUUCCCCCUGCAGCGGAGGCUGCCAGGGCUCCGCUUCCCCACUCCCGCAGCUCUCAGCUCCGUGCCUCUGCGGGCAGCCCGGGCUGCCUUUGCUCUCGCCGCGGGUCGAAGCCCGAGGUCCAGCCCAGGCUGCCGCAGGCACUGCUCCGCAUCCUUCACCUCCGCGCCGGCAUCAUUUGUAAGUCCACUGAGCGCGGGUUUCCCUUCCUCCUCAGCGCCACGGGGGUCGGACAGCAGCGGCAGCGCUUGGUCCCGGAGUCCCCUCCCCUCACCAUGCCAGGGGCUCUUCCCCGGGCGUCAGCGGGCACCAGCGCCCCCGAGCGCUCCUCGCCCUUGUCCUGGGAUCUGUGCUUUUAUUGUCCCGGGUCAGUUUCACUUUGUAAUCCUCCAGGCUUUGUGUUUGGAGUGGGGUGGGUCCCUCCGUCGCGGUCCCCGCGGGCGAUGGGGGCACGGAGGUGCGGGGCAGCUGCUCGGUGCGCCGUGUGGACGCGCUCCUUUGCAGCCGGGACUCCGAGGUGGCACUUCGACGUAUCUGGAGCCCGGCGAGUCCCCCGCUGCCUCUCCUGGUCCCUCGCACUCUCCCCGCCCCUUCCCCGCUGCGCGCACACAAGCACUCGCACACACGCGCGCACACACGGAGGGGGAGGGUUGUCCGCGAUCGCGAGCAGGACUGAGAAACUUUGCUCGCCCCUCGGUGCUCCCGGACUCCAGUGGCCGCCACUCCCCUGCUCUGGUCCUGUCACCCGCGGGCCCUGCCCCGCUACAGCUCAUUGGCCACAGCCCCGCCCCGCGUCCCCGCCGCCCUAGCCUCCAGCCGCCACUGGCUGGGGCGACGUUCGUCACCGUGGCCUCCGAGGCUGUGGGCGGGAGGUGGGCGAGCCCCACGGCGGCGGAGGCGCUAAGAAGGGGGCGACCACCCCCAACUCCUUUCUAUUUAUUUAUUUUCCCUUUUGGUCAAACCUUGGCCGGCGUAGGCGCAAUCACAGCAAGAGGCAGCCGCGGAAUAGAUGGAGAUUUCCUUUAUGAAUGCAGUUUUCCAUGGCUGAAGAUUGCCAACUUGGCAGGAUCCGAGUCCCCAGUGAGACACAUCUCAGAGCAUGUCCAUGAGGGACUUCGGGACCAGUUUGCCUGAAGUGGGAAAAACCACCCUAAGUAUGGUGGACGCUAUUCCAUCAGCUGGGGCUCUGCACUGAAGAGGAACGAGAAUGCUAGCUGAGGAGUUGAGCUCCAGACUUCACUGCUCUCUGUUGUCAGACUGCAGGCAUAGCAAAACUACUGUCUCCUACUCCUGUCACCAUGACGACCUGGGUUCUCAGACUGGGAGCCAGUUUAAAGUCUUCCUUAAACAGCUUCGUCUGGGUAUUUUGGCACAGCAACAAGACAGGUGACUAAUAUGAAGCCUCCCCCUCCCCAUCUUCUCAUCGUUUUUUCACUUCCACUCUUCUCUGUUUUCUGUUCUUCUUUUCCAUCCUGGUUUAAUUCUCUAACGUGCCCCCAUAAGCUCAUGGAUUUGAGUGCUUAGUUCCCAGCUCCUCCCACCGUUUGAGAAAGAUGUGGAACUUUUAGGAAGUGGAGUCUUGCAGGAUGAGUUGGGUCAGUAGGAGCAGACAAUAGGACCUGUUUCUUCUGUGCUUCCUGAGUGUGGGUGCAGUCAAUCUCCAGGUACACUGUGCUCCCACCUUCACAUCCCAAUCCUAAUCCUUUCAGGCAUUUGGUUACAGCCACAGGAAAAGUGAUUAACACAUUGUCUUUGCUCUCCCAGUCUCCACAGGGCCUGAGGUGUCCUCCCUCCCUUCCCUCCACACUCACACACUCCAGUCUUCUCUACUCCUUAUCACCCCUCAUGCCCUCCACACCACAUUUUCCAGAGGCAAUGACCUCAGUCUGAGGCUAUCCUGAGUGGUCUGGCAAAGGUGCCCUUUAGCUGUGCUGCGAUUUUAACACAGGUGUCUGAUCUUGUGUUGUGCAUGCAGCUCAACAUCAUCAGCCUGAUGGAUCACACCCCAUGUUUCUACUCUUAUCUUCACUGCUGCCCUGACUUUUUGCUCUGUCUGUACCCACAGUGGACAGGCCUCCUUGUCAUACAGAUACCAGGUCCUUCCAAGUCCCUGGUGUCUCAGAGAAUUCUGGUUUUUUUUUCCCUUAUGAUCCUACUUUGUUGGACUUCUUCAAUGUAUGUGCUAAAUGUUGGGUUCAGUACUUUUAUUUUAUUUUAUUUUAUUUUAUUUUUUGCAUUUUCUGAUACACAAAGUGAAAGCUAUUAAUUUUCCUCAAGGUGCUGCAGUAGUCAACUUUUAUAAGAUGAGCAACUUUUUUUUAGAUGAGCACGUUUUGCAAAUGAAGAAAAUAACACAGCUAAAGACAAAAAAAAAAAUCAUGUCCACCUGCAUAUCCAUUGUGGUGAAAUUUUCUCUUGUCUUUCUUCUCAUCUUAUGUCCUGCCUCCUUUAAGAUCCGGUUUGGUGUAGUGUUAUCAUUUCUGUCUGUUUGUUGCUUGCUUGAUUUUUCAACUGUUUAAAAAUAAUUAUGUCUUUUUUUUCCGUUUUUUAUUAGGUAUUUAGCUCAUUUACAUUUCCAAUGCUAUACCAAAAGUCCCCCAUACCCACCCACCCCCACUCCCCUAUCCGCCCACUCCCCCUUUUUGGCCCUGGCGUUCCCCUGUACUGGGGCAUAUAAAGUUUGCGUGUCCAAUGGGCCUCUCUUUCCAGUGAUGGCCGACUAGGCCAUCUUUUGAUACAUAUGCAGCUAGAGUCAAGAGCUCCGGGGUACUGAUUAGUUCAUAAUGUUGUUCCACCUAUAGGGUUGCAGAUCCCUUUAGUUCCUUGGGUACUUUCUCUAGCUCCUCCAUUGGGAGCCCUGUGAUCCAUCCAUUAGCUGACUGUGAGCAUCCACUUCUGUGUUUGCUAGGCCCCGGCAUAGUCUCACAAGAGACAGCUACAUCUGGGUCCUUUCGAUAAAAUCUUGCUAGUGUAUGCAAUGGUGUCAGCGUUUGAAUGCUCGGAACUUUUAGGCUGUCCCUAUUUAACAAAAUCAGCUUUGUUUGUGCCUGUUGGUGUAUAAGCUACUAUUCUGUUGCUGUGAUAAAUACUGUGUUCGAGACAGCUUAAGGAAGACUUGAUUUUGGCUCGCAGCUUUGGAGAGAGUCUGUCAUGGCAGCGACACAUACCCUCUGAAGCAGGAAGCUGACUGGUCCCUUCUUUAACUACACACAAGAAGCUGAGAACAGGAUGUGAAGCCACUUGUAAACUCUCAAAGCUCACCUUCCGUGACUGCUUUCUCCAGCAAAGCUGUAUCUCCCAAAGGUUCCAUAACCUCCCUAAACCUCAUGACAAGUCAGAGAUCAAGUUCAAAAACCUGAGCCUGUGACUAGGUUUCCCUUCAAUCCAACAAGUGUGUCCUACAUGGUUCUAGUUCUUCUGCUUUAUUUUAUUUUUAAUUAUUUUUUAGAAGUUUUACAUUAGAGCUGGCAAGAUGGCUCAGUGGUAGAGCAUAUGCUGCCAAGUCUGAGAAGUUGAGUUUGAUACAUGAAUGAUUAACAAGAUGGAUGAAAACCAAGUCUUGAAAGUUGUCUUCUGACUUGCAAACAUGAGGGCUAUGCAAUGUGAGAGGACACACACACACACACACUCAGUGUAAAUAAAAAUGUAAUAAAAUAUUCAGGACCUGGUUGGUAGCUCAAAAAAUAAGUGAACUUGGCCCCCAACUUGAUGACAUAAGUUUGAUUCCUGAGAUCAGCAUAGUGAGAGGAGACACAGGUUGUCCUCUAAGCUCCACAUGAGCACAUGGCUCAUGUGUGCUCCUUAUCCCCUUACGCCCCCCCCCACAUACACACACAAACACACACACACACGUACAAUUUUUUUCUUUAAAAAAUAGUCACAUUUAUCAUGAUAUCCGUGUUUCUAUGUCUCAUAGUACUAUUCUAAUAAUGUAAAUUUUAUUUUUUCCAUGUUUAAUUCUGAGUAUUUCUGACUUAUCUUCCAGUUUACAAAUCCUCUCUUCAACUAUUUCUAACAUGUUGCCAAAAAUCUCGAUUCAGGUUUGUUAAAUUAUUGGUGUGAAAAGCUCUGCUCUGCUAUUUCAUAAAUGCCUGGACUCUAGCAAAUACUUGCAUGCUUGUUUUCUACUUCUUUGAACAAACUAAAUAUUGUUUUGAUGUGCUGUCAAAGUUGUUUCUGACAAUCUAUAUCACAAAGAUUUAGUUCUUUCUGAUUUACCAAUGCUGUUUUAUAGUAGGUUGCUGUUUUAUAGUAGUUUGUCUGGUUAUGAAGCAGUCUAUCUGGAUUAGAGAUGCUUCCUACUUUUGUAAAGACAAUCUUUUAAUUCUUUCAUUGGGUAUCUAUGGGUAUAUUGGUUUUGUUUUUUGCUUUUAUGAUAAAAAAAUCCCUACAAACGCAACCUAAGGGAGACAGGGUUUGUUUAAGCUCACAACUCCAAGUUCUAGUCUAUCACUGCAGGAAAGUAAGGGUGUUGGGAAGCAGAAGCAACUGACCACACCACAUCCAUUGCCAAGAGCAGAGAGAAUGGAUGCAUCCUUGUCUGUACUCAGCUUACUCCUUCACUCACACAGUUGAGGAUCCCCUGCCUAGGGAAUUGUGCCGCCCACAGUAGGCGGGUUUUCGCAGCUCAAUGAAUCUAAUCAAGGUAACCCUCAUUAAACAAGUCCACAGGCCCACCUGAUCUAGAAAAUCCUUCAUUGACCCUCUCCUUCCAGAUGAUUCUAGACUUUAUCAAGUUGACAAUCAAAUAGGCCAUCCUAUUGGGUUAUUAUUUUAUCUGAAACCACUGUUUUCAUGGAUCAAAAAUACUCACCACAAUGAAACAGUAUUUUAUGAAAUUCUAUACAGUACUACCAAGUGAAUUACAAACAUACCACUCUCAUGUAGAACUUCUAGUUCCUAUCUAUAACUCUAGGACCUGGGAAGUUGAGACAGCAUAAAACAUUCCACCAGGUUCCCUGCUUUUCCCUAACACACUGUCACUGUCUGUCUGUCUGUCUGUCUGUCUGUCUGUCUGAUAGCUGUUUUCUGUGAUACUUGAAUCAUAAGGGCCUUGUGACCCUUAGCAAAUACAGUGCAUAUCCUGACUCUACAGAUUAUUGGUAAGAUGGACUCAAAGAGUAUGAGCCAUUACCAUAAAGUGAUUUCUAAUUAAUAAAAAAUUAAAAUGGCAAUUUGCAA